UACAGUAAAAAGCGCUGGCAGUUUCCUGCUUGACUUGUUUGUCUUCUUGCAAUUUCCUUAAAACAUGAAGUGUCUUAUCAUCAUUGUAACUUUGGUGGGAGCCGUCACUGCAGCCAGCUUGCUACUGGAAGACUUGGAGUUUUAUGCUUGGAUGCUGAAGCAUGGAAAGUCAUACAGAUCAAAUGAAGAGGAAGUCCACCGGAAGGAGAUAUGGCUGGCGAAUCGCAAAUAUGUCUUACUCCACAACAUGGAGGCUGACCAGGGAAUAAAGAGCUACAGGCUGGGCAUGAAUUUCUUUGCUGACCUGACAAACCAAGAGUACAGACAGAUCACUUUUAGAGGUUGUCUCGGUCGCUUCAACUCCACCAAAGUCAGACAGAUUUCCACUCUCCUGUGGCAACGUGAAGGCAACUUCCUGCCCACCUCUGUCGACUGGAGAAACCAAGGAUAUGUUACAGAUGUCAAGAACCAGAAAGACUGCGGCUCCUGCUGGGCAUUCAGUGCAACUGGGGCUUUAGAAGGUCAGCAGUUUAGGAAGACGGGAACUCUGGUAUCUCUGAGCGAACAGCAGUUGGUAGAUUGCUCUGGAAGAUAUGGCAACUAUGGAUGUGGAGGUGGUCUCAUGAACCAGUCCUUUCAGUAUAUCGAGGAAAACGGAGGUGUCGACACUGAAGAAUCAUACCCAUAUGAGGCUAGGGAUGGUGCAUGCAGAUUUAACCCUAAUACCAUUGGAGCCACUUGCUCUGGAUAUGUGGCCAUCCCAAGUGGAAAUGAGAAAGCUCUUCAAACUGCUGUAGCCACCGUUGGGCCCGUCUCAGUGGCCAUUGAUGCUGGUCACAUCUCUUUCCAGUUCUAUAUGUCAGGCAUAUACAAUGAACCACAGUGCAGCAGUGAAAACCUGGACCAUGCAGUGCUUGCUGUUGGCUAUGGAACGAAGAACAACCAGGAUUACUGGUUGGUCAAGAACAGCUGGGGGCUCUCCUGGGGACAAGAUGGCUAUAUCCUGAUGGCCAGAAAUGAGAAUAACCAAUGUGGGAUCGCCACAGCUGCCAGUUAUCCGCUCAUCUGAUGAUGCACUUCAGGAGAAGAGAGGAAGUGAGGAACAUAGGAAGAAGAUCUAUCACUUCCUGGUGUCCUUCUGAAAAUCUUUUUGUCUAUUCUGUCGCCAAAGACAGGGAAUGGAAAUAUGACCCUCGGGUCUCCUGCUUUUGAACAUAAUCUGGAAAAUCAUAAGGCAGAUUUGGCUUCUUUGCAAAGAAAUUAUCACAUUUAAAUCUGCCAAUACAAGAAAGUGCUGACAUCCAAAUGAAAAGGAUGCUAACACUCACUGCUAUCUUCAGGAUGUUCUUUUUUGUGUAUUAUGUUGAAUUGACCAUGGUGGUCCACUUCAGCUGCUGUCAACCAAGCAUGUCAGCUCCUGACUUACUUUCUUUAGCCACCAUCUUCCAGCUCUCAUUCUCCAAAUGGGCACAUUACUCAGGACUUGCUCUGCAUUUAAAAAUAUUAUGGUCCAUUUUCCCCAAAGAUACAGUAUGUGUGAUAGAUAAACUGGUAACUCUAAAUUAGCCCAUUAUAUUGUACAUAAGUGCCCAUGGCAGGCCAUCCUAGCUUGGUACCCACAUUACACCCAAUACUGCUGGGAUAGGUACUGGUGCCACAUUACCAUGAAGUGGGUUACAAAAUGGAUGGCUGCAGUGUAUUCCCUUAACUGCAUCUAAAGAAAUACUUUCAAAAAUGACAAUCGCCAAAGUAGAAGAAAUGGAAUCAAAACACUAAGCAAACACUUAGUCUGUAUCUCUAACAUGAUUAUCUUUUUCCCAAAGCCAAACAACAAAAUAAAAAACAAAUAUCCAA